CUUUGGCCUGCUCAUUCAUUCUCAAAGCAUGAAAUAACCAGUCCACUCAGCCUCUCAAACAUUUUGAGCUGAAUGCAGUCACAACUGUGACAGAGAUUAUUGUCAAAAACAGCUGAAAGGCCUCACACACCUCAGUGGAAGUAAAAGUUUACAGUGAAAGUGAAUGCAGAAGUCACCACUGGAGGAUCCACCAUGAGCAUUUUUAGGAUUUAGCAUUUUAGCCAGACCCAGCACGCACCUGUUGGUCAUGCAACAUCGUGGGUGUGUUUGAUUUGGGUCACUUAGUGCUCAUCAGGGGGUGGUCGCACAUGGGAGAAGUUUGCCCUCAGGACUUUCUGCCAGAAAGACUUUCUGCCCGACACAUACUUUUUUUAACAAUGUUGAGGUACAAUAAUGCUAACCUUAACCCAUAAUGAUGUAAUUCUUUAUUAUAUUGCAUUGUUGUACCUUUCACAAACUGUUAAGCCCAGCCCGCUUGCGACUGCACAUCUGACCCAUCCUGACCCUUGGCCAGUGAGUGCAAACAUUCAACAUGCAUCUUUUCCACAGUGUCAGCUGAGUGCAGAGUCUCACUUGCCUAAUAUCAGACAGAUUGUCAACUCAUUACACUCCAUUUGCAGUCAACUUGGUGGAGUGGGUGGAUUCAAAGGUCUGGACCAAGGCAGGAGUGUCACGGCUCCUUUCUUGUUCCAUUAUCACACGGUUUAUCAUGACAUUUCAUGUGACUUUUGUUUUAGGGAGGUGGGGAGGGGUAGCAGCAGAAUAGUUCUAUAAAACCUUGUUAAAGAGAUAAAUAAGAUGAGUGCUGAUACCUGGAGUAGGUUUAAAUUUUUAUGGUCUCCUUGUCCUGCUCAGCUUUGCCGUAUUUAAAAGACCUACAGAAAAUUAAAUUUUCCUUCCUUUAAUGCUCCAGGAUUCUCCUACACUCCUGCUUCUGUUUGUUAUGCAUUGAUUCACUUUCAACCUAUAACCCAUUUCAAACCAUUUCUGCACUGAUCUAGCUUGUUGCCUCCCUAAUUUCUGUGUUGUUUUUCACCCAUCAGUUAUGUAGUUUUGUUACAAGGGUAAAGGUUAUUAUGUAUGUAUGCAUUUAAAAACUUAAAAACAUACCUUCAGUGUUUUGGAGAGAACAGAGAAGAUUUGCAGGGAAACAGCAAAAACAACUCAUUACACAACAGCUGGGCUCAGGAGCUGACAGGAACAGGAGCAAGGCGUCUAUCAGUAUCCGUGGUGAUGGAUGUUUCCUGUGAGCGGUGCUUCCUCUGUUCUAGAUAACGAGGAGGAACAAGCCGCACUGGCAACACAGCAGGGGACAUUGUCGAAUGUGAGGCUCCUCCCGCAACUUUGCCUCGUUUUGAGCAUUUCGCCGCAGAGUUCCGUGGAUCCAGUGUGGAUGCCAAGCUAAAAGUUUGCCUCGCCCGCCUUCAGCUAGAGACAGAGGAAAAGCAGAUGAGUUUCAGUAUCACCAUGAGACAUUAUCCUGGCCACCCUCACUUCCACAUGGGGAUCAGCAGUUUCCUGAUGCUGUUAUGACUACAUCCAAAAGUCAGCCUGAGGUCCAACCAGCUGUCAUCUCUCUCCAGUCCAGAGGUUGUAAAACUGCCAGCCACCCUGGAAGAAUUCAUCGCAGCACAACAAGGUGAUAUCAGCCUUUCAAAAUAUCACUCCUGUGUUCUUAGCCAGGAAGAAGAAAAUGGCCUACGUUUUUGAUGAUAGCUUGUUGAUGCGUUACUGGACUAGUGAAGUCUCAGAGGAUGUGGACUGGAGUGUGACUUACCAGGCUAUCAUUCUCAGGUGCUGUCCUUAGUUCAUGACCACACAUGGUCAGGACACAUGGGGGUCACAAAAACCUAUGACAAGUCCUCAAACAUUUCUUUUGGCCAGGACUGUUGUUGUUCAUCAUUUUCGAACCUGCCAUGUGUGUCAAGUUGCAGGCAAACCUAAUCAAGUGGUUCUCCCUGCUCUUCUUUGCCCCAUUCCAGUAAUGGGUGAGGCAUUUGAAAGAGUAAUUGUUGACUGUGUGGGACUGUUGCCAAAGACUAAAGCUGGGAAUCAGUGAAACCAAUUACGCUAUCCAAACCCGUGACCACAGGCGACGCACCAGAGUGUCAUGUCAACAUGAUGUAGUUGUAUCGCUCCCGAGAAGAUUGAAACAGGUCAUCCACAACCCAUGAUGUGAAGACUGCUGUCUCACCUAUGGCUUCCCUUUCAAAAGUGAGCUCUCCUGAUGAUGGUGGUGGUGAUGAUGAUGAGUUGGUGAUGCGUAAUGCUACACCACAGAGGGCAAGGCUAAGUAAUACUGAGGUAUUGUCCAGUUUGCCCCACUACUUGUCUCAUCUCCCAGCAUGAUGACUUUAAGAAACACAUGUGACUUCCCGUGGCAUUCCCUUCCAAACUUCUGUCAUAACUCAUGACAUUAUUCUGACUAACCCUAUACCAAUCAAGCAGCAUGCCUAUUGGGUUAAUCCAGUUAAGAGGGAAGUCAUGAAGAAAGAGGUUGACUAUCUUGUGCAAACAUCGUAGAAAAGGUUUUAAUCAUAGUCAUCUGGACACUGUUUUCAGAAUCAAGACGUUUCGGCUCC